AGCAAUUUACAUUUCGCUCCCGGCCAAAAAAUCUCUCUCUUCUCUCUCAAUCUCUCUCUCAGACACACACACACAUCUUCUUACAGUAAGAGUAGAUCUGCUGCUUGAUCAUUUUCAAGACUUCAUAUUUUCUUACCAGUACAAAAAAAAAUCCUAAUUUUUGACCAAAGUGGGGAAUUAUCCUUUUUGGCAUAAGCUCACUGUGAUCUAUCUUCAGUCCCACACAAAGCAGAGCGCAAUAAAACCACUACAAGUAUUUUUUCCACUGUAUAAUAGUAUUACUGUCUUUGCUUUUUGUAGGUAUAUUUGCUUCUUAAUUAUUCUUGUUGCUCCAUAAGCUGUGGGGUUUGUUCAAUUCAUAAUUGUUGCUUCUUCUUUUGGGGCAGCGACUUAAUUGAACAUUUCCCCUUUUCCCUUUUCCUUGAUUCUUCCCACCGGAGUGCAAGAUCAUAAUUUAGUUAAGAAUUACUUGAUAAAAGAUUUCAUUUUUAUUGAAUUUAGGGCUGCCCAUUUGCCUAAUUUUCCCAAAUUAGAUUGAUCUGGUUUGAGCCUUGGCUACCUUCUGGUGAAUCUUUGAUUUCUUGGGGUUUUGAAUGAGCUGUGUGAUUAUGUUAUGUGGUGAGAUAUGAGAGUUAGGGUUAUUGAGAAAUGGGGUGUGUAUUUGGGAAAGAGAUUUCGUCGUCUGAGCGAGGUAGCGGCGAUGUAGCUGGAAAGGGGAGAGGGAAAGGGGAAGAGAGAGAUUCUGGGAGGAGGGAGAAGGUAGUUGUUGGAUCAGUAGAUAAGGAAGAAGGAGAGGCUGCUAGUGUUGGUGUUGGUGGUGGAAGCCAAGCUCCGAAUGGCCGGGAUAAGGAGGAGAGGAAGGAAGGGAAUGCUCGGCAGCCUAGAGGCGAGAGGAGACGGUCUAGGCCGAAUCCGAGGCUGAGCAAUCCUCCUAAGAAUAUCCAUGGUGAGCAAGUGGCUGCUGGAUGGCCUUCUUGGCUCUCUGCUGUGGCAGGCGAGGCGAUCAAUGGGUGGACGCCUCGUCGUGCUGAUUCGUUUGUAAAGAUUGAUAAGAUUGGGCAAGGUACUUAUAGUAAUGUGUAUAAAGCUAGAGAUGCUAUAACGGGGAAAGUUGUAGCCCUAAAAAAGGUUAGAUUCGAUAAUUUGGAGCCCGAGAGUGUGAGGUUCAUGGCUAGGGAGAUUUUGAUCCUGCGUCGUCUGGAUCAUCCCAAUGUGCUGAAACUGCAAGGAUUAGCGACAUCAAGGAUGUCUUGUAGUUUGUACCUUGUUUUCGAUUACAUGGAGCAUGAUCUGGCUGGUCUUGUUUCAAAUCCCAGGAUCAAGUUUACCGAACCUCAGGUCAAGUGCUACAUGAAUCAGCUGUUGUCUGGCCUUGAACACUGUCACAACCGCCACGUCUUGCAUAGAGACAUUAAGGGCUCGAAUCUCCUCAUCAGUGAUGGAGGAGUUCUUAAGAUAGCCGAUUUUGGAUUGGCUUCCACGUUUGAUCCCAAUCACAAGCAGCCAAUGACUAGCCGUGUGGUCACUCUGUGGUAUAGGCCGCCCGAGCUGCUUCUUGGGGCCACUCACUAUGGUGUGGGUAUUGAUUUGUGGAGCGCCGGCUGCAUUUUAGCGGAGCUAUUUGCUGGGAAGCCAAUCAUGACGGGCCGGACAGAGGUGGAACAACUUCACAGGAUCUUCAAGCUAUGUGGUUCUCCACCUGAAGAAUAUUGGAAGAAGUCGAAGCUUCCUCAUGCGACCAUAUUCAAACCUCAGCAUUCGUAUAAACGAUGCAUAAAGGAGACGUUUAAAGAUUUCCCUCAGUCAGCAUUGUCUUUGAUUGAUACUCUACUGGCAAUUGAUCCAAGCGAACGUCAAACUGCUACGGCUGCGCUAAAGAGUGAAUUUUUCACAACCAAGCCGUUUGCGUGUGAACCUUCCAGCCUUCCGAAAUAUCCACCUAGUAAGGAGAUGGAUGCUAAGCGUCGUGAUGAAGAAGCCCGAAGGCUAAGAGCUGCUGGUAAAACUCAUGCUGACGGUGCAAAGAAACCUCGGACACGUGAAAGGGCAAUUCGGGGAGUUCCUGCUCCCGAAGCCAAUGCUGAGCUUCAGGCUAAUAUUGAUAGACGGCGUCUGAUUUCCCACGCCAACGCAAAGAGCAAGAGCGAGAAGUUCCCUCCUCCGCACCAAGACGGAGGGCUUGGCUACCCUCUGGGGGCAUCUCAGCACCUCGAUCCGAACUAUGAUCCUCCCGACAUACCCUUCAGCUCGACUAAUUUCUCGUACUCUAAAGACCCGAUGCAGACUUGGUCUGGCCCGUUGGCGGAUCCUGCUGGUGUCGGAGCCCCAAGAAGGAGGUCGAAACCAUCGAAGAAGGAUAAUCGGAAGGACAAGAACUCGAGCCGGAAUAAGGAGAGCGAAGACUUGUAAUGUAACACACACUCUUAUCACAUACAUGAAGAAGGUGCAGAUUAUUGUGUUAUAGUAUCAUCUUUGGCGGGAAAAUUUUCCAAACUGUUUUACGAGGUAUGAAGCCACUGAGUGGGCAUGGUGGGCCGGGCCCAGGCCCGGGCCGGAGAUCGAGCCUGCUCCAUGGUUGUUUCUACAACUUGUGCACUGCUAUCUGUUCUUGCUGCUAUGUAUUCUCUUGUUGCUGGCUGUUGGAAGACUGCUUUGGGGGGCAGCGUAGCUUUCCCUGGCCGCCGUAUGGAUCGCCGGAACCACCACCGCCGCCGCCGACGGUGGUCACCGGGCAUCACCAUCAUGGGAUAUUGGGCUCUGUCAUAGGAGGCCCACCGGGCCCACCCGGCCCAUAUAGUCACACCGGCCCAUAUGGUUACUCUGACGAACCGCCACCGCUUCCUUAUAGUUAUAGAUGAUUUUAUGCAUUUUCUUCACUGAAAUAAUGUUUUUCCCUUUUGUAUAUUAAUAAUGCUUGUGUCACAAAUUAGAUUGGUUUUUUUAAAUGUUUUAAUAAUGUCCACCUAUAUAUAUAUACGAUUAUACGAAUAUGAGAAUGAAUA